rnacentral:lncRNA from 1 species
AUGACAGGCUCUUCAAGGAAGAUGCUGGUGACAAGAAACAUUCAAGCAGAAGCGUUUGUAUUUGGAGUUCCUUUUUCUUUUAUGAUGUAAUUAUCUUUAUGCUCUGAUGAAAAGUGUUCUUCUGACUCUCUCAAUAGUCUGUAGGAGUGAGAAAUAGCAAAGACAUUUAUAUCACUGUUAUGCUUGAAAAUCAUAAUUAUUUGAAAAUGUUGACAGGACUGAUCGUCACUUAAACUUGAAUCUCCUUUUUAUUGCACUUACAAUGUAAAGACAAUCAAGCAUUAAGUAAGAAUUGGAAUUGAUAAACAUUGAAUAUGCAUCAGUACAUAAGAGCCUCACAGAAGUCCAAGUGAGGGAUUCAGACCAUUACUUCCUUCUGGUUGUGUGUGUCUGAAGUGGAGGCAGAAACGUUCAGUUCACCAUACAAGUCAGGGGAAUAACACCACAUCCUCCCACAAGAGGUCAAAGUCUGGUACUAGGCCACAGAAACCUCCUUGGAAAAAACAUGUGGUGGCUCGAAGACUGGGUGUUAACCACAGAAGCAAAAAGGAAAAUGGUGGGAGAUUAUUAUUACAGCUAAACUUCAUGCUUUAGCAUUUAUUUUGAAUCACCCAUACUGAAAUACGUUCAUGAACAACAACAAACCUUACUCAGAAGAUAGAAAAGUUUGCUGACUUCUAAUGACUGAGUAAACAGUUUGUUUUACAUAAUCUGGGAAGACCGAACUAUUUCACCUGGGUUUUCAGCUUGUAUUACAAAAAAUCAGCUGCGCUAACUCAGCUGUGAUGUUUCUCCCUACUAGCCCCCCUUUAUUUUCCCCAUGCAGUAUCUGGGAAUAUGUACAAAUGUAGCACUGCUUUGAAGAACCUUCGGUAACAGGAAACAAAAGUCAUGUCCUGUAUUUUACUGAUACAGACAUCCUCUGUGAUUUCUAUCUACAGAUUAUUGAUCCUCCAGAUAUCCUUUGGCUCCAUGUUUCCCAGCUCUCAGCCACCAGGGAUAAAACCUAGAUGAGAUCCUCAGACUGCCUUACAACACCUUUUGAAAAGAGUUGAGCAGCUUCUACUAUGAUUUGAAAGUCAGUCUAUUUAUCAUAAAUUAGCACAGCGUUUUUACUCCAAUACGUCUUAUUCCAAAGAUACCUUGGUCACCUCUGAU